CUUCUCCUCCUCCCCUGGCCGGGCCCGCAGGGGAGAGUGACACUCACCAGGCGGCUCCGUCCCGGCGGCAGCCCCCCGCGUCCCCCUGCGUCCCCCUGCGCCUCUGAUAAGCAGUUUCUGAGGAGUGAAGGACCUGCAAAAGGGAACACCCGCUCUUGAGGUUGCAAAGGUGCUAAAGCAUGGCUGACUUGGAUCACAACCUCAGUCUUGCGGAUGCUCUGACAGAGCCGCCUCCUGAGAUUGAGGAAGAAGUGAAAAGGGACUUCAUUGCCACACUGGAGGCAGAGAAAUUUGAUGACGUGGUUGGAGAAACAGUAGAUAAAACAGACUACGUUCCUCUGCUGGACGAUGAUGAUGCAAAAGCUGGGAGCCAGGAACCAAAGAGCAAACCCCAUGCAGAUGGUAUUCAGGUGGAAAAUACUUCAGCUUCUGGGCCAACAGUUGUAGAAAAUGGUGACCAUGGAAUAGAAGAUCACCGCACAGUAUUCCCAGGAGAAAACAUGGAUGAAAAGCUGUCUUACAAAGAAUUUCUCGAUCGCAAUGAGUCCUGGACAAUGGAUGACAGAGAUCUGUGCUUGAAUCACAGCCAGUAUUCAAACCCAUGGAGAUGACUGAUUCCUUCAGCAUGCACAGAGGGGACAAUCUGCCUGACUUAUCAUUUCCUACUGACAUGAAGAAUGUGCCGCUGUUCACGCGACCAUGCUGACACUUCCAGAGACAUUCCAUGCACCACAUGGAUCUAUGAUGGUACCUGAACAACCUUUCCUGGGGGCCCUCUAUUCGCCUGCAGAGGCUCUAGACACAUCAGCCUUCAUUGGCGUGGAUUCAACAGCAGAAUUUCUGCAAGACAAAGCAGUGCCUGAAGAAUAUUGGAUGGGAGCUCAGCAUGAUGUGAAGGGACCAGAUGCCUCUUUCUUUGUUGAGCCACCAGUGCCUCCCACCGUGACAGAAGCAAUGAACCAGAAUUUGCCAGAAGGCCCUGUAGCAGUGGCUCCUGGUUUCCUUCCUACUGCAGUUACAACAUCCCCAGGAGAGGCCAAAGCUACUGAUGGACCAAAAGAAAAGGCUGGGUCUGUUCUUGAGGGAGACACCAAGCCUCCUCAAGCUCUGGAUGCUGGAUUCGCACCCACAGCAGAAGCCAACCCUUUUCAGGCUAUGGAUGUUGGGUUUGCUCCUGCACCAGAAGUCAAGCCUCCUAAUGCUGUCAGUGCAUCCGCUCCAGCGGCAGACACCAGCUUCGCCCCAGCAGAUGCUAUGUGCCAUUACACUAUGGAUUUGGAGUUUGCCCCAGCAGAAGAUGCAGGGUUUGCCCCAGCAGCAGAUGUGGGAUCUCACCAUGCUAUGGGUUUGGCAUUUGCCCCAGCAGCAGAUGUGGAAUCUCACCAUGCUAUGGAUAUGGCAUUUGCCCCAGCAGCAGAUGUGGAAUCUUGCCAUGCUAUGGAUAUGGCAUUUGCCCCGGCAGCAGAUGCGGAAUCUAACCAUGCUGUGGAUUUAGCAUUUGCCCCAGCAGCAGAUACUAAAUCUCAUCAUGCUGUGGAUUCUGAAUUUGCCCCAGGAGCAGAUGCAGAGUUUGCCCCUGCAGCAGAAGUCAACCAUCAUCAUGCUAUGGAUUCUGGGUUUGCUCCUGUAGCAGAAACGAAGCCUUUUCCUGCCGUGGAUUCUGGGUUUGGCUUUGCAGAAGCUAAGUCUGCCACUGCAGCUGACACCAAGAUUUCUGCAUCUGAAGAGCUGAUGACUUCUGAGUCUUCUCUUAAGCAAGACAAGUCACCCUUCGGCAAGCCUCCUGCAGAAGCAACUGCAAAUGUGGAACAAGAAUUGAAAGCCCCAGAAGGCCGUGUUGACCUCUUAGAGCAAGCUAAUGUCGGCAAACCUCCUCCAGCAACCAGGAAGAGCAUCUUCUGGAGCAGACGAACCAUCUUUCAGACCAGCAG
rnacentral:lncRNA from 1 species